GAAGCUCAGUGUCUUCAGCCACAUGGUGUGCUCUGGGGGCUAGAUCUGGGUACAUCUACUCCAAGAGGUUUGUCCCAUGUUUAAUUUAUGGGCUGAUUAAUGAGUUCUUAGCAUACAAUGCAUUUAAUUCCAUUUCGGCCUGAUUUAUGGUGUGAUGUGAACUGCAUGUGAAGUUUUUAAUUCAGUAGGUGGUGACUGAUUCGGUAUAUGGAGUGUGACAGAAGAGGUGAUGGAUUUGGUUCCAAAGCCAUGCAUCAAGUUCAGUGUGAAGUGCAUCAAAUCCAUCACACGGCGCAUCAGCUUCAGAGCAGGACACCCCGGUGCUGGCCAUGCCACGCCGGGUUGUGUAGCCUCAGGAAUUGUUCUCGGCCCAGCAGUGACAAUAGGACAGAAGGACAAAAGCAGCUGCAACACCAGAGAGAAAUGGGUUCAGAGGGAAAAGUCAAAGAAUGACUUUGAAAAUGGGAAAUAACAAAUGAACAGAAGGACCUCCAGCUACUCAGCGAAACACUCCUUAGGUCCUUUGUGUUCAUUUCAGACGAUAGAGGAAAACCAUCAGCUCAAUCAGUCACGACAGACAGGGGUCCUGCUGCUUGCACGAGCCUCGGAGAGCAGCUCAUGCUCAGGAUCACGUCUUCCAGGGCCAGUACGGGAUCACUAAACAUCAAACGCUGUGUGCUGUUCGCACUGAAUAGUGUACUCGUGCGGGCCCUGCAGUGACAAGAGAUGGGUGCGUUUGGAGGAGCUCGGCUCUGUAAACCAGAGCACCUGGGACACGCAGAGAAAUACAGGAGUGCUUCAACAUCACAGCAAUGCAGAAUGCAUUUAGAGCAGGAGCUGCAGCGUUCUGGUUUAUUAUUUAUUUACAGAGUUUGUAAAUGUAAAUGUAUUUAGACCUUUAAUUUUCAGAGGCUUGGGCUGCCUUCUACUCGUUGUUUAAUAUUCAGGUGAAAAGCUGCCACAUCUGUCUGCAGCACGUCUGUACAGCACAGCUGCCUCGGCACGGCAUUUUGGCUGCUCUUUCUUUGCAUUUGUACACGUUGGCCAAGCUAUGUUUUGCUGUAAAGCACUUGAAAAGAACUAAGUGGCACAGCACACAGGAGCUGGUUUCAGCUCUCCUUCCCCGGCAGCACCCUGCAAUCCUGCCCAGAGAAAGCCAGAUGAAAUUUUGGGCCGCUGCAUUCACGCAGAUGAACAUUUGGUGUCUGGGUAGACAGUGCAAUAUAAAGUAACAAGCAUCUAAUUCCCAUCCAUCCGGAUUUGCCAUACAAGUGAAACACCUUCAGAAAGGAGACUGAGCCCGUCAAUGUGCAAUAAAUGGCACAAGGCGACGUCAGACCACACAAUACAUCCAUCCUAAUCCCUUGCUGGAAAUCAGGGAGGUUAAAAAUAAAAACCCUUCGAGUGUUGACUGUUUACACAGCUGUAGUACAAAUAUUUAGGUUUACAAGAGAAAUGCUUGCUCAGCCAAAACCCCUCUGAGACCUCUGCAGUCAGCAGCAGGGGGUUUACGGAGGCCUGACAUUUCCUCAGAAAAACUGAAAUGGAUCCUAACGAAAGCAGAGAGCAAUGCUCAUCCGUGGGGCUGGCUGCACUGGGGUGGGCAGCGGGGCCAGGGGAGCUGCUGGUGACACCGGUGUGCGGGCACUGGGAUGAGGGGACACAGGCUGCGGCCUGGCCCUGGGUCCAACCACAGCCGCUGCCGUCCCCCAGGCACUGCCACACGUGCUCCCGGCCCAGGCCGCCUCCUUCCACCUCCCCUCCAGUUAAAAGCUGCUAAGUGGAUUUCCCACCCGGCAAGCCGUCGCUUUAGGAAUACCGCACGGUACAGCCGUUAUUAAAAAGGGGAUUUUUCCUAAUGCACCUACUGUGUCUUCAUUAUGUCAGCGCACCUCCGUGAAGAGAUUUAUGGAGGAAUCCAUCCAUUCACUUCCACGCGUAAUUCCUCAAUAGCCUAUUUGCUUCAAAGACUUUUAUUGACUUUUACUACUACAUGAAUCCUCAGAUAUUUAUUUUUUAGGUCCCAGGGGACCCAUUGAAGGAAAAAUUCACUUUAUGAAGUUUUAUGGCAAAGGUUUUGCGGUGGAUAAAAGCUUCACGUUAUUUCCAAACUUCUGUUCUCCACACAGAAGGCUUCAUGGGGUCUGCUCCUAGACUGGCAUGGGGCACUUAAGGCUAAAAAUUUAGCUCUAAGGAAUAAAUAAGGAAAAGAAGAGGAAAAGUACUUCUCCUCCAUGCCUGGUGUCUCAGGCCUUGUUGUCCCCAUGCAGUUUGGCAGGGUGUUUUUGGAGCCAGUCUGUGUGGGGAUGCAGCUUUUUGCCACGCUGCCAGUUGCAUCCCCAUCAUCACACUGCCACCUGGAACGUCCCCCAGACGUGGGACAUUAUACCAGGCUGGCCAGAGCAGUGGUGGAGGUGGCAAAAGCACACUGCGAGCACAUGAGGUGUCUCCAGCCCUCCAGGUUUGCCUGGGAAAUUGCUAGUGACAGUGAACCAGGGCAAUUAGCCCUAAUCCUCCUGGGUAAUCACCAGCCCUCCUCCGUCCCUGCUCCUCUCCCUUCCUUUCCUUUGCUCGCUCAUUAAUCGAAACAGAAACUUUCUGUCACCGCUGAUUGUGGUACCCAGUAUCAGGUGCCUGGAAGCAUGAAACUAAAAGCUGGGAAGCGUGCUCCUUUGGCCCAAAUAAACAGGUGUCAGGGAAUGUAAUCUAAUCAUGCCGUGAUUGAAUUCAGCGGAAGAAGCUGCGUCACGCACACAAAAUACUCAUUCUGAUAAUCAGUUUGAGGCAGUCGCUGUUUGGCGACGUGCUCGGAUGUCCCUGCCAGCUGGUGACACGGGAGAGGCUGGGAGACCACGGCCAGGUUUGGGAGAAAUGGGGCUGGUGAGCAUCAGCCCUGCUGCACCCUCUGAUGGGCACUUUGCUGGGAGGGUCCAUCAAACAGCUCUUCUUGUACACAACAUGCCUUUCAAGCAAAGAAAAAAAAAAAAAGGCUUUGGAGCAAAUGAGCCUCAGGCUGGGCUGUGUCCUGUGCUGAGGUUCCUCCAGUGGGAUCACAAAGUGGAGCCAAUGAGGGAUGAAAAGGAAAAGCUCAUUGCACACUUGGAAGGGAAAUCUAUGCAAAGUUUAUACUGGAGGAAAGAAAAUGAGGAUUUACAGCUGCAGAGACUUCAGGCAGGGCCCCAGCUCUGAGCACACCUCGAAUCGUGAUGAAUCUCCCAGCUGCUGGAGCUAAUGCAUUAUAUAUUGAAAUCAUUUGUGUUCAUUUGCAGCAAAUAAUUACUUUAAAAUGUUAUCAUUCAUUUGGGUUAUUUGACUUCUCUAUUAAUUGUGCGAAUAACCGUUUAAAAGACAUCAUUUGGGUUAGUGAAAAUCAUCAGCAGUGCUGCUUCACUUGUUGGAACUUGGGGGAACUGCAGAGCCCUGGACCCCCAUGUGGCUCAGGGUGGCUUUGCUUUUCCCUCCUGAGAAAAAAAUGAGGUCUGAAGGUCAGCUCAUGCCUCAAACCUCACGUUUCUCUCCCAGUUGUUGGGAAAUAUGCCCAUUUUCAAGCUAAAGGUGCAACCGUGUCAGUCCUUGCUUCCCUUUGAUGUGAAUAUUCUGUCCUGUGGCACCUAAAAGAAAAAGCAAUCUUCUUGCUCACACCACUUUAUAACACAAACAAAGGUACAAGGUAAAAUGCAGGAGUGCAAUGAACCCCUCCAUUGUGUGCCCUUCAAUCUGCCGUGAUAAACGGGGAUUUGGCUGGAAGAUUUUUCAUGCAUUAGCAUGAAAAUAGGAACAAGGCUAUUUUCCUUCCUUGUGAGCCGAGACGAAAGAGCUAUGCCUUCAGGCUCAGCAACACCCCUCUUGAUUUCAAGCGGGUGAAAUUAAAUAAAGUGGGAGGGAGGGAAAAGUCUGGGGUAGAGGACUGUUAAAAGUUAUUCCUGGGGCCCUGACUAUGCUUCCCAUGUUUCAGGCAGGUAAAGCCUUGCCAAAAAAUGUUAAAAGCAAGUGGUCAGUUCUUCUCCCAGAAGAAUAUAUUCCAGAGAAAUCCCAAGGGAAGACUUAAAUCUCUCCGCGUUGAAUUUGGUUGAGGCUUGAGUGACACCCAGUGGGGUCAGCACUGGGCAUUGAGCCCCCACCGCUCACCCUGCCCGCAGCCGCCUUCCUGUGCCAGGGCUGCUGGCAGCAGAGAAGGACUUUGCCUUCCUUCCAGUCACACAAAGAUGAUUUAAGGCACCCAAAGUUUCAAGCCAGGACUUUUAACUGAAAAGAGGCAUCGAUUUUCUGUAGCUGGGAGAAUAAAAGGCUCGCUCUGGUGAAAGAAAAAAAAAAAAAAAAAAGCUGUUCAAGAAGCCACCUUGACAUGUGCUGUGCAUGUUAUUACCUGCACUGUGCAGAGCAGGCAUGGAGGGGACCAGCACCUGUGUCCCCUCCUCGGGGUCUCCCCUUUCAGGGGUGCAGACCUGUGACCCCAUCUUUGGGCUUGGGCACCAAAUCACACCCCUUGAGCAAAACCUGUUAUGGAUGGAGGCGUAAACACCAUGGGGGAAGGAUGGGGAAGAUGUGUUAAUUUUUCACAAGAGAUGUGUUAGAAGAUAUACAGAAGCAUGGUGGCCCAUCAGCAGCAUCUCACCCUGGCACCCACUUUCCCUCAUGGCCACCAAAGCCCCAAGCCCAGGUGCCAGUAGGGAGCUGGCAGAGCUCCCCCAGCCCCUCCCUGGAAACACUCAUUAAUUCCCUGCUUCUUCCUUAAUUGCAUUAAAGCAGUGUCCAUUCUACCAUUGCUUUACAAUGCCGCAGCUUAAAUCCACUAUUAAGGCAGGAGCGUUGUGGCUUGGAUCCUUCAAUUAACAUGAGUGAUCUCACCUUUGUCCACAGCAUCUUUUUCCAUGCUAUUACACUGGGUAAUUGUUAAACUACUGACUGGCUCCGAGAGGUCUGUACUUUCAUCAAAAUGUCCUGCUUUUCUGACCCAGCAACUUAUCCACAUUUUUGAGCCUAAUAUUUUCAGGUGAUUUGAGUUAAAUCAAUUGCAAAAAAUCGAUGAAUUAUUUAAAGUGCUGGUGGUCUCCAGCUAUGAAACGGGGUUUGGUCAAAGUUCCCCCCAUAUCCUAGGAGCAUUAAGGUGCUCCCAGGGAAAUCAGCUCCCCACUGACCACAGCUAUCAAAAGAACUGAUCAAAUUCAUUUGAAAACUUUCCACACUUGUGGAAAAAAGCAUUCAUAAAUUUUUAAUGUCCCCUUGUUUUGUCUCUUGCUAGAAAAAAGGCAGGGAGAGAAAUGAGGGGCUCUUCCCUCAGGACAGAAAAGCCCUUCCAACUCUUUUGAGCUGCUAAGAAACACUACCCAAGUUUUUUGUUGUUGUGAAAUUUCAUCGAAAAUGGAGCAGGGUGGGGAAAAAAAGAGCCCAGAAACACAACCCAGAAGUCUUCUCAGGACACCCUUUGUCCCUGCAAGUGAGCACUGAUCUCGCUUCACCACUACAGUAACAGCCAGGGGUCUGCAGGAGGCCCAGCAUCAUCUCCCCUAUGUAAGGGACAGGAGAAGGCCUGAGCCUCAGCACACACACCUAAGCCUUGGUCUUCUCCUCCCCACCCCAGCUUGCUGCCCCAGGAGCAGCUGUGGGGCCAAAUUGGGACCAGGAGAGGGAGGAAAUCCACCUGUGCUGACUGUCCCACCAGUGCUGGAGGCUUGUCCUCUGCCAUGGCUCCCAGCCUGCAGCAAGCACCAGCUGCACCUCACAAUGCCUUGAUGGCUGCCACGGUGCUGUUAUGACUGCAGGAUGAGCUCACAAAGGCCUAAUGGUCUUGCCUGGCCUCACCUGGGACCCACACCCCCACAUGGGCCCUGGACACCAUUUAAGUGCAGCCCUAGGCCAGCAGUUUUGGUUGGGCUGUGCUGGAGGUCUUGAGCCUCCCCUCUGGGCCUUCUGGGGUGGGCUUUGGGGUAACAGGUUUUCAGUCCUAUCUCAUUCUGCUCCCAGCUCAUCUCCCUGGUGGGACGUGGGAUGUGUUUUGUGGCUUUUUGUGUCUGGGACUGUUAAUGGACCCUGUCAGCUGCCCUGGUGGGACUGGACACUGUCAGCUCCCAGCCUGUCCUGCUGCUCUCCAACAGCCAUGCAAAGGCUUUAGGAUUCUUCUUUCCCCGAGAGGAACAAAGAUUUUGUUCUACCAGAGCAGGAGGGAGUGUCUUGGGAAGGCAGGCAAAAUUGCAAUGUAAUGCUGGAACUCUGGCUGGAGUUCAACACCUAAAGGUCAGGUGAUGAGGUUGUGGCGUGAUACCUGCACAGAUAUGCAAUUCCUGGAGCCUCAAUUUUGUACUUGAAUGGGGGCAAGGGGAAGAAGGAGGUAGGAAAAUGGUUCUUUCCUUUGAGUGUGCUUUUAUUGACCGAACGAAGCAGCAGGCUAUUCAGGUCUUCUGAGCUGCUAUUAUCCUCGUGGUCUUGUGCCACAAAACAGAGGAAAAUGCUGUCUGUUGAGGCAGAAAGAGAAGGCCAAGGAAGGACCACAGACAGAUGAAGUCACUCAAAUCUGGGGGACCCUGAAACAUGCCUGGAGCUCCAAAAUGAGUUUGAAGAACAAUACCCAGUGUGUUCAGUGUGCUCCAGGAGGGAGGGGAAAAGGAAAGGCAAAGUGGUCCCUGUGCCCAAACCUUGCUGCCCAACCACAGAACAAAGGAAAAGGAGACAGUCUGAAAAAAGACAGUACUGAAAAAUACUGAUUUGCUGGUAUAAAAGA